UGGGGGUGGCCGCUGGGGGGAGGUGGUGGCCAUGGGGGUGAGGUGGUGGCUGUGGGGUCAAGAUGGCGGCCAUGGGGUCAAGAUGGCGGCCAUGGGAUUGAGGUGGUGGCCAUGGGGUCAAGAUGGCGGCCGUGGGGUCAAGAUGGCGGCCGUGGGGAUGAGAUGGUGGCCGUGGGGAUGAGGCGGUGGCCAUGGGGACAAGAUGGUGGGCAUUGGGAUGAGGUGGUGGCCAUGGGGUCAAGAUGGCGGCCAUGGGGUCAAGAUGGCGGCCAUGGGAUUGAGGUGGUGGCCAUGGG